AAUAGUCCUGUAUGUUAAACGAGAAGACUUUAGAUAUGAUCCAGAGUACCACGGGACACGUGAAACCCUGUGGGAAGCAGGAGGGACCACCCUCCAAGGCUAAAUACUACCUAGUGACCGAUAGCGUAUAGUACCGUGAGGGAAAGGUGAAAAGAACCCCGGGAGGGGAGUGAAAUAGAACCUGAAACCCUGCACUUACAAGCUGUGGAAGCACAUUUCUUGUGUGACCGCGUACUUUUUGUAGAACGGGCCAACGAGUUACGUUAAGUAGCAAGGUUAAGCACUUAAGGUGCGGAGCCGUAGCGAAAGCGAGUUUUAACUGAGCGUUCAGUUACUUGACGUAGACCCGAAACCGGGCGACCUACCCAUGAGCAGGAUGAAGCGAAAGUAAAAUUUCGUGGAGGUCCGAACCCACGAGCGUUGAAAAGCUCGGGGAUGACUUGUGGGUAGCGGUGAAAUUCCAAUCGAGCCCGGAGAUAGCUGGUUCUCCCCGAAAUAGCUUUAGGGCUAGCCUCAAGGUGAGAGAUACGGAGGUAGAGCACUGAAUGUCCUAGGGGGUAUUGCACCUACCGAAGACUAUCAAACUCCGAAUGCCGUCAUCUUAUACUUGGGAGUCAGACUGUGGGUGAUAAGAUUCAUAGUCGAAAGGGCAACAGCCCAGAUCGUCAGCUAAGGUCCCUAAAUGUAAGUUAAGUGGUAAAGGAUGUGGGAUUGCACAGACAACCAGGAUGUUGGCUUAGAAGCAGCCACUCAUUCAAAGAGUGCGUAAUAGCUCACUGGUCGAGUGAUCCUGCGCCGAAGAUUUCCGGGGCUAAAACUUACUACCGAAGCUACGGCAUCAGUAAUGAUGGGUAGGGGAGCUUCCCAUACGGGUUGAAGCAUGACCGUAAGGACAUGUGGACAGUAUGGGAGUGAGAAUGUUGGCAUGAGUAGCGAGAUGUGGGUGAGAAUCCCACAGGCCGUAAACCCAAGGUUUCCAGGGGAAGGUUCGUCCGCCCUGGGUUAGUCGGGACCUAAGCUGAGGCCGAAAGGCGUAGGUGAUGGACAACAGGUUGAUAUUCCUGUACUACCGAUAACCGUUUGAGAGAAGGGAUGACACAGUAGGAUAAGCUAAGCACACUGUUGGUUAUGUGUGCCCAAGCAUUGAGGCAGUCAAAGUAGGCAAAUCCGCUUUGAUAAUGCUGGG
rnacentral:rRNA from 1 species